CCAAUAGACGACUUUAAGUGUUCACACAGUUUGUUUGAUGAUUGUAGGCAAUGGAAGAACGACAUCGAAGACAAAAUCCUGUUGGGUCUGUAGCUCAGGUGGUUAGAGCGCACCCCUGAUAAGGGUGAGGUCGGUGGUUCAAGUCCACUCAGACCCACCACUUAUACAUCAAGCGCAUUGAGUAUGAGUGAAAGCCAAAGGAUAUGAUUGGGGAUAUAGCUCAGCUGGGAGAGCGCCUGCCUUGCACGCAGGAGGUCAGCGGUUCGAUCCCGCUUAUCUCCACCAACAUCGUCAUAGUUAAGUUUAUUUAAGGUAUCUUUUAAUUUCGAUGAAUGAAUUUAACUAUGAUGAUAGUGAGUCUAUAGACUUACAUUAUUCUUAUCUGUUCUUUAAAAAUCCGGAAACAAGCUGAAAACGAGACUUUCAAGGAAGUCUGAGCGAGUGAUUGAGAAAAGGCGAUUACUCGACUUUAAUUUAAAACUGUUAUUAAUCGCAGCGCGGGUAUGCCACUUAUGGUGAAUAUACUAAUAUCCUAUGAGAGGGCAAGAAUACUUGAGGUUGUAUGGUUAAGAGACAAAGCGUACAAGGUGGA
rnacentral:tRNA from 1 species